rnacentral:rRNA from 1 species
GCAGUCGAACGGCAGCACGGACUUCGGGUCUGGUGGCGAGUGGCGAACGGGUGAUAUAAUGUAUCGGAACGUGCCCAGUCGUGGGGGAUAACGUAGUGAAAAUUACGCUAAUACCGCAUACGAUCUAUGGAUGAAAGCGGGGGAUCGCAAGACCUCGCGCGAUUGGAGCGGCCGAUAUCAGAUUAGGUAGUUGGUGGGGUAAAGGCCCACCAAGCCAACGAUCUGUAGCUGGUCUGAGAGGACGACCAGCCACACUGGAACUGAGACACGGUCCAGACUCCUACGGGAGGCAGCAGUGGGGAAUUUUGGACAAUGGGCGAAAGCCUGAUCCAGCCAUUCCGCGUGCAGGAUGAAGGCCCUCGGGUUGUAAACUGCUUUUGUACAGAACGAAAAGGUUUCUACUAAUACUAGGAGCUCAUGACGGUACUGUAAGAAUAAGCACCGGCUAACUACGUGCCAGCAGCCGCGGUAAUACGUAGGGUGCAAGCGUUAAUCGGAAUUACUGGGCGUAAAGCGUGCGCAGGCGGUUAUAUAAGUCAGAUGUGAAAUCCCCGGGCUCAACCUGGGAGCUGCAUUUGAGACUGUAUAGCUAGAGUACGGCAGAGGGGGAUGGAAUUCCGCGUGUAGCAGUGAAAUGCGUAGAUAUGCGGAGGAACACCGAUGGCGAAGGCAAUCCCCUGGGCCUGUACUGACGCUCAUGCACGAAAGCGUGGGGAGCAAACAGGAUUAGAUACCCUGGUAGUCCACGCCCUAAACGAUGUCAACUGGUUGUUGGGUCUUAACUGACUCAGUAACGAAGCUAACGCGUGAAGUUGACCGCCUGGGGGAGUACG